UGGUUUAAUUCGAAGCAACGCGAAGAACCUUACCAGGCCUUGACAUGCAGAGAACUUCCAGAGAUGGAUUGGUGCCUUCGGGAACUCUGACACAGGUGCUGCAUGGCUGUCGUCAGCUCGUAUCGUGAGAUGUUGGGUUAAGUCCCGUAACGAGCGCAACCCUUGUCCUUAGUUACCAGCACGUUAUGGUGGGCACUCUAAGGAGACUGCCGGUGACAAACCGGAGGAAGGUGGGGAUGACGUCAAGUCAUCAUGGCCCUUACGGCCUGGGCUACACACGUGCUACAAUGGUCGGUACAAAGGGUUGCCAAGCCGCGAGGUGGAGCUAAUCCCAUAAAACCGAUCGUAGUCCGGAUCGCAGUCUGCAACUCGACUGCGUGAAGUCGGAAUCGCUAGUAAUCGUGAAUCAGAAUGUCACGGUGAAUACGUUCCCGGGCCUU
rnacentral:rRNA from 1 species